rnacentral:rRNA from 1 species
GACGAACGCUGGCGGCGUGCUUAACACAUGCAAGUCGAACGGAAAGGCCCUGCUUUUGUGGGGUGCCCGAGUGGCGAACGGGUGCGUAACACGUGAGUAACCUGCCCUAGACUUUGGGAUAACUUAAGGAAACUGGGGCUAAUAUCGGAUAGGAGCCCCUGUUGCAUGGUGGGGGUUGGAAAGUUUCGGCGGGUGGGGAUGGACUCGCGGGUUAUCAGCUAGUUGGUGGGGUAGUGGCUUACCCAGGGAUUGACGGGUACCCGGCCUGGGAGGGUGACCGGGCACAUUGGGACUGAGAUACGGCCCAGACGCCUACAGUAGGCAGCAGGGGGAAGUAUGACACAAUGAGCCGAAGCCUGAUGCGACAGCGCCGCGGGCGGAAUGACGGCCUUCGGGGUAAGAACCGCUUUCGCCUGAGACGAAGCGGUAGUGACGGUAAUGAGUGAAGAAGCACCGGCUAACUACGUG